CAGCAAGCCAGCUGGCCAGCCUUCAGGGAGCAUGGGCCCAGGCCUGCUGUUCACAGUGUGCAGUAGGCAGGGCAGGUGGAGUCUGAAGGAAGAGGCCCCACACGGGCAAAGGAAAACAUCACAAAUGAACUGACCUAUCUCAAUGACACAUGUGACCUUCAGUUGGCUCACAUUCCUUGUCAUGGUGAUGGCUCCUCUUCCACUGCCGCACUAAGGUAACCAUGAAGCUACUGUGACCUGAAGAGGCUGAAAGUGUGUUCACGAGCGCAAAG